rnacentral:rRNA from 1 species
ACGAACGCUGGCGGCCUGCCUAACACAUGCCAGUCGCACGAGACCUUCGGGUCUAGUGGCGCACGGGUGCGUAACGCGUGGGAAUCUACCCUCAGGUUCGGAAUAACUCAGAGAAAUUUGAGCUAAUACCGGAUGAUGACGUAAGUCCAAAGAUUUAUCGCCUGAGGAUGAGCCCGCGUAGGAUUAGGUAGUUGGUGAGGUAAAGGCUCACCAAGCCGACGAUCCUUAGCUGGUCUGAGAGGAUGAUCAGCCACACUGGGACUGAGACACGGCCCAGACUCCUACGGGAGGCAGCAGUGGGGAAUAUUGGACAAUGGGCGAAAGCCUGAUCCAGCAAUGCCGCGUGAGUGAUGAAGGCCUUAGGGUUGUAAAGCUCUUUUACCCGGGAUGAUAAUGACAGUACCGGGAGAAUAAGCGCCGGCUAACUCCGUG